rnacentral:rRNA from 1 species
GGCAAUGACGGGUAACGGGGAAUUAGGGUUCGAUUCCGGAGAGGGAGCCUGAGAAACGGCUACCACAUCUAAGGAAGGCAGCAGGCGCGCAAAUUACCCAAUCCUAAUACAGGGAGGUAGUGACAAGAAAUAACAAUACAGGACUUUUUGGUUUUGUAAUUGGAAUGAGUUAAGUAUAAACCCCUUUACAAGUAUCAAUUGGAGGGCAAGUCUGGUGCCAGCAGCCGCGGUAAUUCCAGCUCCAAUAGCGUAUAUUAAAGUUGUUGCAGUUAAAAAGCUCGUAGUUGGAUUUCUGUUAAUAAUUUAUAUAAAAUAUUUUGAUGAAUAUUUAUAUAAUAUUAACAUAAUUCAUAUUACUAUAUAUUU